rfam:Danio rerio chromosome 15, GRCz11 reference primary assembly.
GCCGGCAGCUAGCUCUCUGCAACUCUCACAUGGUCGCCCACUGAAGCUAAGCAGGGCUGUGCCCGGUCAGUACCUGGAUGGGAGACCACAUGGGAAAGCUAGGUUGCUGCCGGAA